rnacentral:misc_RNA from 1 species
GGCGGGGCUGGGGGCAACGGGGCGCGCCCAUGACCCAGCCGCCCGGCAGGCCGUGGAGCUGCGGAGCCUGUGGCGGGAGCACGCGUGCGUGGUGGCCGGGCUGCGGCGCUUCGGGUGCGUGGUGUGCCGCUGGAUCGCCCAGGACCUCAGCAGCCUUGCUGGGCUCCUGGACCAACACGGCGUGCGCCUGGUGGGCGUAGGGCCCGAGGCCCUGGGUCUGCAGGAGUUCCUGGACGGCGACUACUUCGCGGGAGAGCUCUACCUGGAUGAGAGCAAGCAGCUUUACAAGGAGCUAGGCUUCAAGCGGUACAACAGCCUGAGCAUCCUCCCAGCAGCUCUGGGGAAGCCCGUGCGUGAUGUGGCUGCCAAGGCUGUACCCACUCCUGACAGGCCAAGGCUGUUGGCAUCCAGGGGAACUUGUCUGGGGACCUGCUGCAGAGCGGAGGGCUGCUGGUGGUCAGCAAAGGUGGUGAUAAAGUGCUCCUGCAUUUCGUCCAGAAGUCCCCAGGCGACUACGUCCCCAAGGAGCACAUCCUGCAGGUCCUGGGCAUCUCUGCGGAGGUCUGUGCCAGCGACCCGCCUCAGUGUGACAGAGAGGUGUGAGGGAGGCGAAGGCCCUGGCCUCCGAGGAUCUGGGUGGCGUCUGCUGCCCUAGGUGUGCUGGAAGUCCACUUGGAAGAACUGUUCCG